AAAUGUGCCACAAGGGAAGAGAUCUGCCACAUCCUCUCUGCCUGAUAGAACGUAGGCAGGAGGACUUGAGCUCCAGAGGAAAAUAAAAUCACUGAGGAAGACUCAGGUGAAGCACUGAAGAGUUUAGGAGAAACAAGAGUCCAUGUUCACGCUCCGGUGUUGAUAGGCCCGACUUCAAAUGAUUUACGCGUGCCUUCGACUCUCCUGAACCAGAGCCAGCUUUCCUCCAGGCUGGUUUCCAAGGGGAGAUGUCACACCACAAAAUCUCCCUCCGUGCCCUGCCACAGUUGGUCCUGAUUUGACUGUCUCUGUGGAGAAGCUGAGGAUCAAAUGCCCCGUGGCGCCAGACUGUUUUCUUUUUCAGCCUGCAGGAACCGCUGCUGACCCUGGUCAGAAGAGGCACGCUGCUCCCUGCGCUGGGGGGGUUGCAGCACCCCUCCUGCCAAGCUGAUGGAUUGCGGCCCCGAUUCUGUGAGCGGAUCGAACUGACCCCGUGAAAAGCCUGUGGAGAGGCAACUCCAAG